rnacentral:rRNA from 1 species
CCUACGGGAGGCAGCAGUGAGGAAUAUUGGUCAAUGGACGAGAGCCUGAACCAGCCAAGUAGCGUGAAGGAUGACUGCCCUACGGGUUGUAAACUUCUUUUAUAAGGGAAUAAAAUGUUCCACGUGUGGGAUUUUGUAUGUACUAUAUGAAUAAGGAUCGGCUAACUCCGUGCCAGCAGCCGCGGUAAUACGGAGGAUCCGAGCGUUAUCCGGAUUUAUUGGGUUUAAAGGGAGCGUAGGUGGGUUGUUAAGUCAGUUGUGAAAGUUUGCGGCUCAACCGUAAAAUUGCAAUUGAUACUGGCAGUCUUGAGUACAGUAGAGGUAGGCGGAAUUCGUGGUGUAGCGGUGAAAUGCUUAGAUAUCACGAAGAACUCCGAUUGCGAAGGCAGCUCACUGGACUGCAACUGACACUGAGGCUCGAAAGUGUGGGUAUCAAACAGGAUUAGAUACCCGUGUAGUC